UACGUAGGGCGCAAGCGUUGUCCGGAAUUAUUGGGCGUAAAGAGCUCGUAGGCGGUCUGUCGCGUCUGCUGUGAAAUCCCGAGGCUCAACCUCGGGCCUGCAGUGGGUACGGGCAGACUAGAGUGCGGUAGGGGAGAUUGGAAUUCCUGGUGUAGCGGUGGAAUGCGCAGAUAUCAGGAGGAACACCGAUGGCGAAGGCAGAUCUCUGGGCCGUAACUGACGCUGAGGAGCGAAAGCGUGGGGAGCGAACAGG
rnacentral:rRNA from 1 species